AGAAGAACACGCACACAAUCUGUCGAGCGGCGGCCGUGACGGUACACUUCAACAGACCAGAAGAAGACACAGAAGAACUACGAGCAACAUUGAUACUGAUCAAUGCCGAGUUCAUGCGUAUCACAACAGUUCCAUUGGAGACAAAGUUCUUGGCGCAGUUGGACAAGCACUCCACCAAACUGUUGGAGGUCAUCAGGAGCAAGGGAGGAGUUGGGAAAGAGAAGAUUACCAGGACCUUGCAGAUUUCAGAUGAGACUGUGGAUAUCACCAUCAGAAGAGAAUGCAUCCUCAAAUCUCUGAUGAUCUACCUCGGCUGAACCUGUUGAGCACCUUAUCAAAAAAUACCAGGAAAAUGAGGUUGAAGAACUGGAGCAGACAACCAUGGCAAUCUUUAUCACUGAGAAAGAGGAUCCUCUCCAUCCACCCAAAGACAUUAAAAUUGUCAUCGAAGGAACAGAGGUCCUGAACAAGUUGCCCUCGGUUGCAACAGCUUUUGCCAUGGUCUUUGGGCUUAUAUACACACUGAACCUAAAGUAUCCGAAAAGGCUGCAGUUCACCUUUGAAUUUGUGCAAAAGGUACUAAUGGAGCUUGAUGGAAAAAAGAUGACCCCAAAAGUCUCUAGACUGACCACCCAGCUGUACAGCACAGAGUAGGCAGAGCUGAAUUGCACAGACUUGAUUUUAUUUUCCAUCUGUGGUUACAUUUUUUAAAUGUGGCUACCCAAGUUCGAUGGCUACCAGCCUCAAAGGCCGAAGUAGGCUGUGUUCUGAAAUGUUUAGAAAUGACGUUCAAGACUUUGGAUCCUUUUGUAAGAUGUUGCACUUACAAGGCUGCAUUAUCACUGCAGCAUUUACAAAUGUGGCUGCACUAGUUCGAUGGCUACCAGCCUCAAAGGCCGAAGUAGGCCAAGUGUUAUGGACAACUGGAGAGACUGAUUGCAGUGUUUUCAGCGUAUGCACAGAUUUGUACGAAAGAGUUCAGACUUUGGGCUGUGGGCUCAAGAGUUUUGUUUGAGCUAUUACAUAUAAAUUAGUUGUAUUUAAAUGUAGAUCAUACAGCUCUGUAUCAGAAACUCUCAGUGUCUUAGGAGUUCCACUGUUCACUGUCUUAGGAGCAGUUCCAGGAUUUGUCUCUGGUGUUCAGCUGAAAGAGACUGUUCAUCAUCAUAUACAUUUGAAACGGGUAUACAAUACUGUCAUAACAUUUAAUUGUAUUUUAGGAUGUUUUAUGGUGAAAUGUGUUAUGUCAGGACAAA